ensembl:lncRNA
GGCUGGAGUUAUUGGCUGGAUCUCACAAGGAAUUGGAAAGGUGGUCCCGCAGCCUGAUGAGAAACACAUACGGGACGAGACUCCAGAAUCUGAAGAAGUCACAGAGGUUUACGAGGCAAAGGACCUUCCUGGUGUGUAUCAGUCAGUCUAUUUAGAAAAACAGUUGAAUUAAUAAACUGUAUGGCGGGUUUAGUGCUAAAGCUUCAAACGUUUACUGUGUAUCUCCUACACCAGAUCAGGAGCCUUUGGCACAUAUACAAGUAGUAGAGCUGGUGUCAGAAGACGAGAUGUCGGAGGUGGAACCAACCGCUCAGUUCCCUCCUAAGUGAGUGUCAUUCUGUAAAGCACACGGGGGGAAGACAUUGUUAGGUGCAAAUUGGGUGCCUUACGUUUAUUGAAGGUGAUGGCAAAGGCAAGCAUCUUUAUUGCUAUUAUCUGAACUCUAGAGACUUGAAGAAAUAGUUCACCCAAAAAUGAAAAUUUACCAACCCCCAGACCAUCCAAGAUGUAGAUAAAUUGCUUAUUUCAAUGUGUGAACAGUGUAAUGAACUGGAUAAAGAGCGGCUUCCAGAACGCUAUACCGCACCAUGUGACCAGACCCCCAAAUUCCAGUUCUUCCACGCCGAGGUCAUCACAGUGCUCAAACAAAGGUAUUUUAGCUAUAUUCAUAGCUAUAAGACAGCUAUAUUUUUAAAGAUUGUAACUGUUUAGCUUCAUAUUUGCUUUGGUUCAGUUUAUUCACCUCCUCCAGAGUCGAUAACCAGCGUGACGGAGAUCGAAUUGAAAACUCCCAGGUGAGUCACGUCAAAUAUAAUUCUCUCUUUUGCAACUGCUUACUGGAAAAUUGGCAUAGAUGUCCACUUCAUGUCCCUCUUGUUUUCAGUAUGGUGGGCUGGAUUGUUCAGGGUCUGGGUCUUUCAAUGCCACAAGCGAUGCUUAAAAACAAAGAAGGAUGUUUGGAGGACGGGAAGAUUGUGCAAAAUGGCUGCUUUUAAGACAUGUACAUUGCAAGUUUCGGGCAGUGCUCGGUCAGCUCCUGCAGACCUUGUUCUUGAGGAGAUUGACUCUGAAGAUGAGGCUCAAGAAAAAACAUGUUCAGCAACAAACUCAUUGCCAAAUUCACAAACUCAGUCCCAACCACAAACACCUUGGUCGCCGGAACAAUCUCUUCCACUGAGUGUCACCACACCAGCACAAAUAGAACUGGAGGACGCAGAGACCCAAACCGCACGAUGGACGCCCAUGAUCGAGAACAUCAGAAGAGAGGCGGAGGACACCGCCAUAUUAAUUAUGGAGGAACGGUUGAUACAGGAGCGUCUGGCGAUGGCUCGAAUGGCAGAAGAGGUGGCACGGCAGACAGCAGAGAUGGCUGUCAGGGAGUUGGCACAGGCCCGGUUCGCCAUUCAGACCAUUGCAGAAGAGCCAGAAGAUGCUGAUCAAGAGUAAUUCAUGCACACCAACAAAAAAUCACUCAAACUAAUCCCUCUGUGUGUGUAUGAUAAAUGUGUAUACUUUAUAUGUUUUUGCUUCUGAAUAUUUUGUGGAAAUUGAUUCAUUACCACUCAAUGGGUAGGGUAAGUAAGAUUCAAAACUUAUAUAGUUUUAUUCAUGCAACAAAAUAUUUCAAAUAAGUGCUUUCUGUUCAUCAAAGACUCCUGAAAACAAAGUAUCAUGUUUUCCACAAAAAUAUAAAGCAGCACAAAUGUUGGUUUUUCAGUGACCAAUUCUUGAAAUUUCAC